rnacentral:rRNA from 1 species
UGGGGAAUAUUGCACAAUGGGCGCAAGCCUGAUGCAGCCAUGCCGCGUGUAUGAAGAAGGCCUUCGGGUUGUAAAGUACUUUCAGCGGGGAGGAAGGCGAUAAGGUUAAUAACCUUGUCGAUUGACGUUACCCGCAGAAGAAGCACCGGCUAACUCCGUGCCAGCAGCCGCGGUAAUACGGAGGGUGCAAGCGUUAAUCGGAAUUACUGGGCGUAAAGCGCACGCAGGCGGUCUGUCAAGUCGGAUGUGAAAUCCCCGGGCUCAACCUGGGAACUGCAUUCGAAACUGGCAGGCUAGAGUCUUGUAGAGGGGGGUAGAAUUCCAGGUGUAGCGGUGAAAUGCGUAGAGAUCUGGAGGAAUACCGGUGGCGAAGGCGGCCCCCUGGACAAAGACUGACACUGAGGUGCGAAAGCGUGGGGAGCAAACA